GCAAAGAGUGCCAUUGAGAAAGAAGCAGAAGAUGGAUUUAAGUGGAUAAAGUAAGGUGUGGAGGUGAAAUGAGCUUCGUAUUGCAUAAUACCUGGUAUGUGUUUGUUGUUUGUAACUCUAUGGUGUCUGAUAUAGUCAAAUCUUAUCAUUGUCAGAGUCAGGAAUAUUGAGGAUGUGGAAUUUAGAUCUUUUCCAUUUGGUGUUAGUCCUGAACUUGAGCUUUAUUUUGAUACAUACAUGAGUUAUAUUUGGAAUAAUUUAGUUGCUCUGUGGUUAACAGCUGAUUAUGGUAUUGUUCUAGUUUUUUUUUUAAAAAACG
rnacentral:misc_RNA from 1 species